ensembl:lncRNA
GCGUGCUGCUGACCGUGAGAAUGCUCAGGGGGUACACAGAUCCCGGAGCCCCUCCUGUGACCUCCCAUAAACGAGGCCUGAAGAGGGACGAGAGGGGACAGGUGGGUGUGGUCGUCACGUGCAGAGGCCACAGGGACGGUCCAGGGCCCGUGGCGGGGCCCACAGACGUGGAGGGGAGGCCUCCUCUUCCUCGGCCUCCCAGUGACCAAAGCAGAGAACAAACCCAAGACCAGGGAGGGCCAGCGGUUCUUGUGGACACCUGAGCAGGGGCUCCCGCCCUGCCACAGUGGUCGUUCCCGCAGACGCAAAGGAUGCGGCCGGCCGGAGCCCGGGCUGAGGACAGCCACUCCAGAGUGGAACCCCAGAGGUCACAGAAGGUCCACUCACACUUACAUGUAUACCCAUACUCAACCCCCCACACUCUCACACUUGCACACGCACACAUUCAACAUACAAACACGCAUGCAUGCAUACAUAUUCAACACAUGUAUGUACACUCACCCACAAACACAUGUAUACUUGCAUUUACAUGUACGCACUCCCUCGCAUCCACGGAUGCACAUGCACAGUACACGUCCUCACACGCUCAUGCGUCUGCAUUCUCUCACCUACACACGUGUGCUCACACGUGCACUCAGCAGGUGUGCAGGAGCACCAGGAAGGCAGAGCCGGGGCGGGAGGGGGGGUGUCCUCACGGAACAGCAAGGUGGCCAGCCGGCUGCUGCCCCUCUGUGGAGACCACACAGGCAUGUCCCUCUGGGCACCCAAACACUCUGAGUAUUUGACUCUCCGCACCCUGCACAAGCAAGUCUACAAGACCCGAGGCAGACGGCGCAGCGCGAGGGCGGAUUUAUGCCUUCUUUCCAGCAGAUUCUUAUUCACCUUGAAGAACCCGCAGGGCCGCCGCCCGGAGGAACCCACACGCUGCCAGGCAUUCAUCAGCCCUGCGGCAGAGCCACCACGGACAGCUUUGAGCUGCAGCCGCUACAGCUGGGGGAAUGUAACAGCCCACAGCCAGAGAAGGGAGGUGAGCCGGCGUGGGCUACGCAUGUUUCCCAAGAGGCGGUAGCAGGAAAAACAUUUCUAUCUAAUCGUCUGUCUUCCAGAACACUCAGCUUCUGCACGGAGCUGAUAGGAACCCGAGUCCGGGAAGUAAGAACUCGAUUCAGGGUUGGGCCGAGACACUCUGUUCUGGCGGGCGCUCUGCACAGUGACGAAUCAGUCCCCUUGGGCGCUCUGUCCAGAAAGGACCCAUGCAGGCAGGCUGCAGACAAAGCCACCCAGGAGCUCGAGAUAGGGGGAGAGAGGCCGGUGGGGCUGAGCCACUGCUGUCACGGGUUCUGAGAAGGGGGCUGACAGCACGCUGGAGCCGCCCCUGCAGGUGAAAGUCCCACAAGCUUCAUCAUGCCACGGCUAUGGACGGGAUGGCUCUUUUCUCUUUGGGGGUGUUUGGGUGGCAUUGCUUUGGGGGUGGGGUCUUUAGAAAACCACAGCUUACUGCUGUGGGGGUGGAGGGGUGUGGGGAGACACAAACAUAAACAAGACUUGCCCCCCCAGUACUGUGCACAACGGGAGCCCCUAAGAGGAGCAGGUGACGCGUGUGUCCCAACACAGGUAUGAGCGAAGUGCGGAAGAAAAUCAACUCCACCAGGAACUGUCAAGGCUUUGCUAAGUUUGUCCCAAAUGCCACCUGAUCCUUGAUGUUACUUAGCUGGACACAUCAAAGAAUGAGAGAGAGAUGGCUCUUGGUCACAGUGCUUUCUCCUACCGUUAGUUAUUUAUUGUCAUGAUCACUCUUUUAUUUAAAAAAAAAAAAGAUUUAUUUAUUUAUUCAAAAGGUAGAGAUCUUGCAUCCGCUGGUUCACUCCCCAGAUGGCCACAAUGGUCAGGGCAAGGCCAGGCCAAAGCCAGGAGCCAGGAGCUCCAACAGGGUCUCCCAGGUGAGUGCAGGGGCCCAAGCAUCUGGGCCAUCCUCUGCUGCUUUCCCAGGCCAUAGCAGAGAGCUGGAUCGGAAGAGGAACAGCUGGACACCAACUGGCAGCCCAUAUGGGACACUGGCGCUGCCGACG